AUAAUUAUUGUUAUCACUUGAAUUAGAUUCUGAAAGUUAAAAGUGUAUGAAACAUUGAUCCUAAUUAUAUUCGGUUUUUAAGCUUUAUUAGCAAAAGGUUUGAAUUCUGUAGCAACCGUGUGACAAUGACAUCAAAGGAAGAAAAAACAUAAAAGAUGAGUUGCUUUACUGGAAUCACCACUUGACAAGGAAGAUAAAAAGAUAGAUAUCAUUUCCAUGGACCAACUUAGGCCUCACCAAAAGAAAAAAAAGAACACCAACUAAACCUGCAGUUGCAUCAUGAAAUGAAGGGAUGAUGGAGGUCCUAGUUCUCAGAAGAAAUCAUGAGAUGAUCUAGUCAUAAUUUGCAAUAUCACAAGAUCCACAACCCAUUAAAUCCAUGAUCAAAUGGAUCUCACGUCGCCAAAGCUAGAGGUCUCGAGUUUGACUUCCUCUCCCAUAACAUACCUUAAAUUUAAGGUAAAUAAUAUGAAAUAUCUUUUCUCGAGUUUGAUUCUCCUUCACGUAACAAACACUUGGUUUAAAGCAAAGAUUAUAAAGUAUUUUCGCUCAAAAUUGACUCUUGCUUUCACAUCAUAUAUACCCUAAAAUUAAGGUAAAGAUUGAUGAGUGAUUUUCCUCAAGCAGAACAGUCUAGGUCUAAAAUGCAGGACCACCUUAUAAUUUUCCUUUCUCUAAUUCUAAACAUGCUUUUAGCUAGAAAAUAAGAACAGUGGGUUUGCAAUAUUUGACUUUUAUUUUGUUGACAGUAAAAGAGUGGAGGUAAAAAGCAACAAGGUAUACGUACAGGUGUCUCAUCCUGUCCAAACAAACAAGGAAACUGAUAGGGUGAUCACCCUCUUCACCAAAGAAAACAAUAGGGCAACUCUUAACCCCCACAGUGACUGCACUUUGUUUCCAGCUUCACUCUCAAACACCAACAAUGUCGACCCUGUAGAACUCACCUUCACUCCAGAGGACCCUUGUGCUCAAACUCCUUCACUAAGAUUCUCAAACCCCCUCAUUGUUCUCUAAGCUUCAGUGUUUCACUAGCCUCUAAUGUUCAUUUUCUUUUUCUACCUGGUUAAUUAACAUUGGGUUUGAAUGCAUUAACUAGGUACAAAAUAAGCAGAGCAAUUCCCAUUUUCGCACAAAAUAAGCGCGUUGUUUUUGGUAAGAGAGCAGAGCAAGCUUCCUCAUCUUCCACAUGCUCUCCUUCUCAAGGUCCUCAUUUUCAUAGUUUCAUAAAUUUUCAUUUCCUUCCUACUUGCAUAGUUUUAAUCAGAAGUAGUAGUUUCUGGCAUUUUUAAGCUCAGUGUUUUCUUAUAUGUUCGGUUGAUUA
rnacentral:lncRNA from 1 species